rnacentral:rRNA from 1 species
GUGGGGAAUAUUGGACAAUGGGCGCAAGCCUGAUCCAGCCAUGCCGCGUGUGUGAUGAAGGCCUUAGGGUUGUAAAGCACUUUCGCCGGUGAAGAUAAUGACGGUAACCGGAGAAGAAGCCCCGGCUAACUUCGUGCCAGCAGCCGCGGUAAUACGAAGGGGGCAAGCGUUGCUCGGAAUCACUGGGCGUAAAGCGCACGUAGGCGGGUCGUUAAGUCAGGGGUGAAAUACUGGAGCUCAACUCCAGAACUGCCAUUGAUACUGGCGACCUAGAGUUCGAGAGAGGUUGGUGGAACUCCGAGUGUAGAGGUGAAAUUCGUAGAUAUUCGGAAGAACACCAGUGGCGAAGGCGGCCAACUGGCUCGAUACUGACGCUGAGGUGCGAAAGCGUGGGGAGCAAACAGGAUUAGAUACCCCUGUAGUCC